CUCCUCUGAGUGUUGGUCCAAACUAGAGUCCUGUGCAGCGCCCCCUCGGGGAAACUCGAGGUUUGGUUUUAGUUGUACGGAGCGCUCAUGUGAGUGUGCCCUGAGAAAGAGAUAUGUGCAGCUCCUAUCGGGAUUUGUCGGCACAUUCGGGCGGUGUUGCUGGUUUAGUUUUACCCUGUCGAAAUGUCUUGUUGUACCGGGAUACCGAGUCUGAUCGGAAUGUCUCGGGUGGAGGUCUAUUCCUUCGUUGACCGUGAGAGCUUGUGAUGGGCUAAGUUGGGACACCCCUGCAGGGUAUUAACUUUCGAAAGCCGUGCCCGUGGUUAUGGGCAGAUGGGAAUUUGUUAACGUCCGGUUGUAGAAAACCCGAAGUUGACCUUAAUUAAAAUACAUCAACCGCGUGUGUAACCGUGAUGGUCUCUUUCCGGCGGAGUCCGGGAAGUGAACACGGUGUUGGAGUUAUGCUUGACGUAGGUAGUCCAGGAUCACUUCUUGAUCAUACCUUUGUCGACCGUGCUUUGCCUUCUCUUCUCGCUCUCAUUUGCGUAUGUUAGCCACCAUAUAUGCUAGUCGCUUGCUGCAGCUCCACCUCAUACCUUUACCUUACCCAUAAGCUUAAAUAGUCUUGAUCGCGAGGGUGCGAGAUUGCUGAGUCCCUGUGGCUCACAGAUACUCCCAAAACCAGCUUGCAGGUGCCGAUGAGUCCGUGCAGAUGACGCAACCAAGCUCAGGAGGAGCUCGAUGAAGAUCUUGUCCUUUGUGGUGUUUCGUUCUAGUUGAUCAGUAGUGGAGCCCAGUUGGGGUCGAUCGGGGACCUUUGUCGCAUUUGGGGUUCUUCUUUUAUUUUGGUUCCGUAGUCGGACCUUGAUUGUAUCUGGAUGAUGUAAUGCUUUAUUCAUGUAAUUGUUUGAAGUGGCGAUUGUAAGCCAACUAUGUAUCUCUUUCCCUUAUGUAUUACAUGGGUUGUGUGAAGAUUACCUCACUUGCGACAUUGCUUUCAAUGCGGUUAUGCCUCUAAGUCGUGCUUCGACACGUGGGAGAUAUAGCCGCAUCGAGGGCGUGACAAGUUGGUAAUCAGAGCCUUCCCCGACCUUAGGAGCCCCAUUGCUUGAUCGUUAUUAGUGGCCGAGUUGUGUCUAGAAAAAUGUUUUGAGUCCUUUAGGAAUUAUAUAUCGGAGAGUUUAGGAAUUCUUUUACUCCCCAGUUCCUUCAUCGCUCUGGUAAGGCAUCCUGAUGUAGAGUUUUGACUCUUCUCUUCUCAAAUUUCACUAAAAAUUUUUAGGAUCACGCGGGUAUCUUGGAAUCGUUCCGAUGGUUUUAUGAUGAGAACAUUGUCUUGGUGCCUCCUGUCAGGGGUUUAGUGGAAGUGUCCCGGGGAGUUGAGCUCUGAGGUGUUGUCAUCAUAAUUUUAUCGUUGCAAUUCUGGAAUACCUGAGUUUAGUACGCCGACAUCGAAAAUCUCUUUUAUGCAGUUCGUUGGUGAGAUAACCUCGACGCCACCCAGUACUGGGGCGGGAGUUCGGGAGUAUCGCCAUAACUUGUAUAACGGAUGAUUUUCGAAGGUUGAGGUAGAUGAUUUCCGAAGGUUUCUUGGUUAUGUGUUGAAGGAUGGAUACAGCUGGAUGUAGGAUUUGCUAGUUUGGGUGAGAUAUUAUGCUUCCCCUGUAUCCCCAACACCUGAUUGCAUAACCGGAAAAUUUCGGGAGUUUCAUAGGUGGGAAAUCAAGUAGCUCUUAGGAUAUCUUUUCGACAGAUGUAUGAUAUGAAAUUGGGGUUCGACGUCUAGUGGUCCGCCUUUCCACGGUCGUUUUUACAGUGGUCUCGUUGUGUCUUAAAGAGUCCUUGGCUAUGCCGACUCGGGGACACUUCGUAUGUCAUGUGCACUGCCUUUUACAUGAUGGUGCUGUACACUCGAGCCCGUGUGGGCCCCACCACGAAAACUUCGGACGGAAUCUCUAUCAUAUGUUUGUUCCGGCUUAUUCUGCAAGCCAGUCCUUUGUUUUUGUUUUGAGUUGUGGUAUUUGAGUUGCUUCAAUGUCAAGUGUUGAUUCCAUACCUUUCCGAAAUGGUGUUCUCAUACUCCGAUGUGAAUACCAAUCCUUCUCGACAAUCGAGAUUGUCAUGUCAAUCCUUUUCAACCAGCGUCUUUCUCUUCAAGUGGAUCCGAUCAUUUCAAUAUUCGCAAGAUCACCUCUCAGUUCUCUCAACGGUGUUUGUUUCAUCCGUCCCAAGUUAUUUUUGUUUUCCCGCCCUCCCACCCCUUUUUCUUCAAGGACUCAGAUUUCUUAAUCGAGUAUCCAUUUUAUUGAUGGGAAGUUUCUCCAUUCUUUUCUGUCAAUGUUCUUAUCCGGUGAUUCUCAUGAAGAUUCUAAUGGAGCUUCAAGUUCGUCAUUCCUCAUUCCUUUCUCUUCUCCGGUGGAUUCAAGUCAAGAUUUGUCGAUUAUAUCCCCUUUUUCUCGUUUCAAAUACCUUCUCAUGCCGGUGCACCUCAUAUUCAUUCACUUCUCGCUAUUUAAUUGUUCCGGAGUGCUGAAGAUAUUUCAAAGAUUUGUGUUUUCACUUUGCAUCCAUUCAAGCUAUUUCGAGGUCCUAUCUUAUUCAAGUCAUUUAAUUCAACUGGUGAAAUCUCUCUUUUAAUCAUUCUAACGGUGUUUUCUCUUGAGUGGGCCCUAACCCACAGGUCUUUUCCUAGGAUCUUACCUGACUCUUCUUAUUUCCGGAGUUAUAAUCAAAUUCUUUUCGAAGUUUGACGUAAGAAUGAGUUAUCAUUAGUCAAAUGCUUUUCUCCAAGAUCUUUCAAAUUCUUUUCAUAGUUGGCUCAACCUCUUCGCUUUUGAUUCUUUCGGAGUGUCUAAAUAAUUCUUGGUGGUGUUUCUCGUUGUCAUUCUCAUCAUUUGAAGACCAAAGAAGAGUUUCUCUUUAAUCUUGCUCUAUUCUCUUCAAGAUUCAUGGUGCUAGCUUGUUGCCAUCCUCUCAUAAUUGUUUUGAUCGUGAGAAUUCUUUUCAUCCAUCCGGAGUUAUUCAAGAGUCUUCUCAGUUUGUCAUCCGGAGUCCAUCAAUUCAGAUUUAUUCAUUCUCAGUUUGCAGUUAUCAUUCUCCGAUCUUACCGGUGCCUUGUUCAAGUGAUCUUUAAUCGGCUCGUGCUCUCUUCGUUCUCAUGUAUCUAAAUACCCUAAAGUAUCUUCAUUCAUUUUGCAAUUCUUCCCGGUGAUUUGUGCAUUUGCUACAUUCAAUUUCAAUUCUUACGGUGGUUCGUUCAAGAGUUCUCUUUCUUUGUUAUCAUAUCAAUUCAUUCGUUCUUUCCAAAUCCUACCGGUGGUUCGUUGAAGACCUUCUCAAGUUUACGCCAUAUCUCUCUUAAUCCUUUCUACAAGAAUAAGUGGUAUGCCAAAUCCGUUGCUUGUCAUCAAUUUAAAUUGGUGAAGGAUACGCAUAACAUAAUUCUUAUUCUGGUUUCAUCCAAGUGAUUAAUCCUUUCCUUCAGAGUUUGUCCAGGAGGAAUAAAUUCUUGGCUUCUUGUUGUUCAUCUUUCUUCCGGAGUUCUAAGUUUUCCGCAUUAUCUCGUCGCGAAGCUCCAUCUAAAUCAUCGCAAGGCUUCACCUUGUGUUUUCAACUUCUCUUUCUUUUUAUCAUCCUUUUAUUACCGGAGUUCUUCAUGGAGGCUCUACAUGAUGGUUAAUCAAGGAUUUAUAUUUCUUCUUGAAGUGUUCAUCGAGAUUCUUUUCUAAGAAACUCAAGCAUUCUUCAUCUUGCUAUCCGGAGUGCAAUUUCUUUCUACCGUAUCUUUGGAGGUGGUAUUAUGUCCUUCUUGAUAAUUCCCCUUCGUUGCUUCGUGAGUCACAAGUUAUCAAGAAUGAGAUAUUUUAAAUCCAUCAAUCUCUUCUUUGGAGUUAUCUUGAGUUAUAUUUCACCUAAAGCCUUCCCUAAGGAUUGUUGCCAUUUAUGGUGCUUGUAAAUGAUCCAAGUACUUCAUUUAUCCUCCCGGUGAAAUAAGUUUCUCGUCUCCUCGUUCAUAUCAAUCCAAUUCUUCUUCCCGCGAGUGGCAGGUUGUCAUCUCAUAAUUUGAGAUGUAUUUCAUAAGACCAUAUCAAGAUUAUUCUUUUCGUUGUUGGUUUUCAACAACUCCAUUCUAGCAUUUGUUGUAUCUGUGAUCUCUCAAGAUCUUGUUUCCCUUCGUUCCGGAGUCAUUGUGAUGUUGCUCUUUUCAACCCAUCAUCUCGUUUGUCAAAGAUCAUGUUCUUUUCGUGCUUAUCCAUUUAACCAGAGUGUCGUGUCCUCUGCUCAAGUUCUUUUCAUCUUAUCUAGUCUUGUAUCACUUUUCAACCGGAGUGUUGUUCGAAUUUGGUCUUCCUUGAUCCCCUUCCUUAACCGGCGCGUUUUCAAUAUAUAUCUUCCCUUCAACCUCAAGGUUUUGCAAUGCUCUUUGUCCCUAGUUUCUAACGGAGUGUUUUCGACUUUGUUCUCCUUCGUUCUAUUCUUUUCUCGAAUUAGUUCAACCUCGCAAGGUUCAUGGUUUCACUCGUUCGUCAAAGAAGCAACUUUGUUUUACCUCUCCUCUUCCUUUUCCCUCCGGUGCCAUCCUAGAUCUCGGGACGAGAUCCUCUCGUAGUGGUGGAGUGUUGUAACACCCCGGAUGCAAUUUUCCAUAUUCGUAACUCCAACUCUUGCCUUUUCCGGAGGUGUGUUAUUUUAUUUCCUUCGUGGUUGGGUUUUUGUCUGUUGUUUUGCAUUUUGUUUUUGUUAUGCAUCUUGUCUCAUAGCAUCAUGCGCAUUGCAUCUGCAUGUUUUCAUAAAACAUGCAUCCGUUGUUAGUUGCCGCUUCUUCCUCGUCUCUGUUGACCUUUCUCAGACCGACCAUUCUGUUGUUGCCCGACCGUUUGACCCUCUUUGCACAAUACUCAAAACCCUUUGUCUCCAUGGCGUUUCGUCAAACCCCUCUUGCGUGCGUCCGAAAACUCCCCUAAACCCGACCCGGGCAGUCAUUACCGUUGUGUCCGAAUCAUCCCCUAACAUCUACAAAAUAUCUCUGUUUUCUCUUUUGGACUCCCUAGCUAUUUUUUUUUCGCGACCGUCCGUUUUCGAUCCGAGGGACCGAGAUAGCCCUUAACCUAAUCUGUGGGGUAUAUAUAGUCCACCCUUAGUCAUUUUGGACAAACCCUAACUUCUAGGCAGUUUGUCCCUGCCGCCGCCGCCGCACUCACCUUCCGCCUUGGGAUCUCCCCAGAUCCUUCUCGCAGCCACCCACAGGCCAGCCGUCUCCCCUCGAUCCCCAUCCCACCAGUCCUUCCGAUCCAAAAAUCCACAACCACAGCCGCCACCUCCUCGGUUCCCGAGGCCCAGCCUCCUCUCGAUCUCGUGCGUGAGCAUGCGCCCGAGGAGCUCGAGCAGUGGAGCCCCGAUCCCGCAGCGCCAGGCACCCCUGCAUCUUCCCGUGUUUCCCGUGCGCGCCACCCAAGCAGCAACUGCAGAUGAGCACCGUCGUCCCUCCUCUUCCUCCUGUUUUCCCUCUCUUUCUCUCUCUCACGGUGGCCUCUCUCCUUCCCAGGAACGAGCAGGAGCUCGCCCUUGCUCCAUGCCGCCGUCGUCGUACUGCUUCGCCUCGUCCAUGCCAUGGCCGCCCGAAGCUCCCUGCCCGGCGCCGUGGAUGGCCGCCAUGGAUGCCCUUGCUCUGCUCCGAGUCAACCGUUCCGCCGUCGCCCGUUCGUCCCGCCGGAUCCGCGAAGCCGCCGUUCGGGACCCUGUCUGUCUCCCCUGCAUCACGCCCCAUCGCCGUGCUCCUCACCGACGCCGUCCGCGCCCUUUCCUGCCUCGGAUCCGGCUGGAUCCACCUCCUCCUCCAGCCACGGCCCUUCCUGGCCGGAUCCCGCCGCCGCGCUGCCACCAAGCCAGCUCGCCGCCGCUGCUCUGCUUCCUGACGAACAGAGCAGCUCGCUCGCCCGCUCGUCCCCGCUCGCGUUGACCGCGCUGGCCAGCUGCGUGGGCUGCAGCCGCAACAAGCCCCCCCAGCCGGCCUGCUGCCUCCAAGGCCCAGCGCCCCGCUUUAGCCUCUCCACCGACCGGCCCAAGGCCCAGGGUGAGCAGCCCCCUCCAGAUCCCUCUCCUGUGCACUGCUGGCCCAGCAUAUUUCGGCCCGAUUUGUUUUUUUUAUAGAUCUGUGAUUUUAGCCUUUAUCCAGUGAAUUAACUGUUUUACAGAAAAGUCCUUCAACUUCAUGCAUUUAAUAACUCACAAACUAUGCAUCAUAUGUAAAUAAUUUAAACAUGAAAAAUGCUUAGUUUUUUUCAUCUAGAUUAAUAAUAUGCCAUUUUCAUCCCAUGCUAAAAUGCUUAAAAUUUUGUUUGUUUAAUUUUGCUCAAAUGCCAUGUUAAAAUGCUUUAUUUCAUAACUAACUAACCGUAGCUCCGAUUUAAAUAAACUUUAUAUGUAAAUGGGGUAGAAUUUUGCCUAGUUUAACAUGGUGGCCUUACUUUGCAUGUUAAACAACCCUAAAAUUGUGUUUAGGGCAGAACAGGACCUAAUCUAAAAUAUGCAUAUGGGGAGUUUCCGGAAUUGUUGUUCGUUGCUUCCGGCCUCAUUUAAACUUGACUAGAUAGGUAGUUUUGCUUUGCUUCACUCUCUUGCCAUGUUUAACAACAUUUAAUAUUGUUGGGGUACAUAAACGAGAGAGAACUAAAUAAUCGAUGUGGUGUUUUGUCAAUAUGCAUCCCGAUGCAUAUUGAGCUCCAUUUAAUUUGUAGGAUUGAUUGUGCACUUUGCCAUGCCAUGCCAUGCAUAUUUAAAACGAACAGGCAUCAUACUUAUUUGCGCAUCAUGCCAUGUUCAUGUGGUGGUUGUUUACCAUGUUGUUUGUUUCUUUCCGGGUUGCUUCUCUCGUUAGCUUCGGUUUCGUUCCGGAGUUGUGAGGAUUCGUUCAUCUACGGCCGUUUGUCUUCUUCAUGGACUCUUUCUUCUUCCUUGCGGGAUUUCAGGCAAGAUGAUCAUACCCUCGAAAUCACUACUAUCUUUGCUAUGCUAGUUUGCUCGCUCUUUUGCUAUGCCAAUGCUACGAUGCCUACCAUUUGCUUGUCAGCCUCCCAAAUUGCCAUGUCAAACCUCUAACCCACCAUGUCCUAGCAAACCGUUGAUUGGCUAUGUUACCACUUUGCUCAGCCCCUCUUAUAGCGUUGUUAGUUGCAGGUGAAGAUUGAAGUUUGUUCCUUGUUGGAACAUGGAGAUGCCGUUCCUUGUUGGAACAUUUAUUUGCUUGUUGGGAUAUCACAAUAUAUCUUAUUUAAUUAAUGCAUCUAUAUACUUGGUAAAGGGUGGAAGGCUCGGCCUUAUGCCUGGUGUUUUGUUCCACUCUUACCGCCCUAGUUUCCGUCAUAUCGGUGUUAUGUUCCCGGAUUUUGCGUCCCUUACACGGUUGGGCUAUAAUGGGAACCCCUUGACAGUUCGCCUUAAGUAAAGCUCUUCCAGCAAUGCCCAACAUUGAUUUUACCAUUUGCCACCUAGCCUUUUCUUUUCCCUUGGGAGUCGCGCUCCUGAGGGUCAUCAUUAUUUUACCCCUCGGGCCAGUGCUCCUCUGAGUGUUGGUCCAAACUAGAGUCCUGUGCAGCGCCCCCUCGGGGAAACUCGAGGUUUGGUUUUAGUUGUACGAAGCGCUCAUCUGAGUGUGCCCUGAGAAAGAGAUAUGUGCAGCUCCUAUCGGGAUUUGUCGGCACAUUCGGGCGGUGUUGCUGGUUUAGUUUUACCCUGUCGAAAUGUCUUGUUGUACCGGGAUACCGAGUCUGAUCGGAAUGUCUCGGGUGGAGGUCUAUUCCUUCGUUGACCGUGAGAGCUUGUGAUGGGCUAAGUUGGGACACCCCUGCAGGGUAUUAACUUUCGAAAGCCGUGCCCGUGGUUAUGGGCAGAUGGGAAUUUGUUAACGUCCGGUUGUAGAAAACCCGAAGUUGACCUUAAUUAAAAUACAUCAACCGCAUGUGUAACCGUGAUGGUCUCUUUCUGGCGGAGUCCGGGAAGUGAACACGGUGUUGGAGUUAUGCUUGACGUAGGUAGUCCAGGAUCACUUCUUGAUCAUACCUUUGUCGACCGUGCUUUGCCUUCUCUUCUCGCUCUCAUUUGCGUAUGUUAGCCACCAUAUAUGCUAGUCGCUUGCUGCAGCUCCACCUCAUACCUUUACCUUACCCAUAAGCUUAAAUAGUCUUGAUCGCGAGGGUGCGAGAUUGCUGAGUCCCUGUGGCUCACAGAUACUCCCAGAACCAGCUUGCAGGUGCCGAUGAGUCCGUGCAGAUGACGCAACCAAGCUCAGGAGGAGCUCGAUGAAGAUCUUGUCCUUUGUGGUGUUUCGUUCUAGUUGAUCAGUAGUGGAGCCCAGUUGGGGUCGAUCGGGGACCUUUGUCGCAUUUGGGGUUCUUCUUUUAUUUUGGUUCCGUAGUCGGACCUUGAUUGUAUCUGGAUGAUGUAAUGCUUUAUUCAUGUAAUUGUUUGAAGUGGCGAUUGUAAGCCAACUAUGUAUCUCUUUCCCUUAUGUAUUACAUGGGUUGCGUGAAGAUUACCUCACUUGCGACAUUGCUUUCAAUGCGGUUAUGCCUCUAAGUCGUGCUUCGACACGUGGGAGAUAUAGCCGCAUCGAGGGCGUGACACCAGGGUCCCAUUGAUACAGAGCUGCUGAUGAUAUCUGGUGACGGGAGGUCCCAUGGCUCCAUAGCCAUGGGAGAUGGACUUAUCCGUUGUCCUAGCACUCUCCCGGAGAUCAAGGCGCGCCAGUCGAGCUCCGCUCCUGAGAUAAGGCCUCGUGAAUGGCCAGUCCAACUCGCCAUCAAGG
rnacentral:lncRNA from 1 species